CGUACCCAUAGACACGUACCCAGCUUUGAAUGAGAAUGAAUUUAUUUGAGUUCGUGGUCGGCGUAUGGAUUUACGAUCAAAAUCCUCAGGCUGCGCCCGUCGUUACGGAAAGCUUAGUCGUAGAAUGCCAGUGGCUACACCACGGAACAGACCUCUUCCAGAAGCUGAGUGUCGAGGCCAGGGCUUACUGUGUGUAAAUGUCAUUACACUGGAACUUUGCUGGGGGAGACCCCGAGUUCAACCCAAGCAAUAGUAGAUAUUACGAUGCCAAUUGCUAGUAAAAGGACUCCGUGUACUUACGUUAGACCAAAACAAGGAAAACGUGCGAGUGGAAGAUAAGUACCAGCAGAGCUAGCAUCACCUGCUACACUAGACGCGAGAAACUAGCCACGAGUUGGUGCCGAGUCGAAGAUCAGCGACAUCACCCCCGGCUAGCGGCCCGCGGAUGCGGAGAGAGAAAGAACACGUAAGGAAAAAGAAUACGUACAGAUGUGACAGUCUUGCCAAUAGUUGCGCCAAGAGCGAGGGACCGAUAAAAAUUACUGCUUCAUUGUGUCAGUAAUCGUUACGUUAUGGCCAUAGAUUUGCCAUUCCUUUUACUUCAUUUUACCUAACUGCACACGUGCCACAGCUUAACUGCGGUGUCGUAACGACUCUCUCAGCUAUACAACGAAUUCUAGAUCUGAUGUCAGGCUUGCAUCAUCAAGUAGUGAUUGAACGGUAUGAAAGAAUUAUCCUGCGAGCUGACUGGAUGUACUUAUGUCGAAGGUGAAGUUUAAACGAUCGACAUGAGGUUUGAUAACCGUGGCUGCGGUCAAAAGAUCAGGGUUCAUCGCCAUCGACGUCUCUUCAUUGAUGAACAAACGAAACGACGAGUAUAAAGCCAUACGGAAACGGUCGAACAGAAACGUACUUCCUGCGUGUUUGCUAAUCAUCUGACAAAAUCUCCACCAUGAUAGAAUAUUCAUUCGGAACAGAAUAUUCAUUUUGAACAGCCUUCUAUUAAAAUAAAUUUAAGGAAGUAAAUUGUUAGCCUAUAGGACGUAACAUAGACGAACAAAUCUGCAGCAAAAAAAAAAAGAACACUCAAAUAAUUUCCGCGAAAAUUGCAUUCAUUGGUGGCAUAUAAAUAAAGUUCGUGGAGCAA